UACGAAGGGGGCUAGCGUUGCUCGGAAUCACUGGGCGUAAAGCGCACGUAGGCGGAUUGCUAAGUCAGGGGUGAAAUCCUGGAGCUCAACUCCAGAACUGCCUUUGAUACUGGCGAUCUUGAGUCCGGGAGAGGUGAGUGGAACUGCGAGUGUAGAGGUGAAAUUUCGUAGAUAUUCGCAAGAACACCAGUGGCGAAGGCGGCUCACUGGCCCGGUACUGACGCUGAGGUGCGAAAGCGUGGGGAGCAAACAGGG
rnacentral:rRNA from 1 species